rnacentral:rRNA from 1 species
UACAGAGGGGGCAAGCGUUGUUCGGAAUUACUGGGCGUAAAGGGCGCGUAGGCGGCCUUCUAAGUCGAACGUGAAAUCCCCGGGCUCAACCCGGGAACUGCGUCCGAUACUGGAAGGCUUGAAUCCGGGAGAGGGAUGCGGAAUUCCAGGUGUAGCGGUGAAAUGCGUAGAUAUCGGGAAGAACACCGGUGGCGAAGGCGGAGCUCUGGGCCUGUUCUGACGCUGAGGCGCGAAAGCUAGGGGAGCGAACAGG